rnacentral:tRNA from 1 species
GGCCUUUUAGUAUAAUAGUGUAUAUAUGAUUUCCAAUCGUUAUGGUUACAGGGUCU